GUCCAUUAUUUUGGAUUCCAUCUUAUCCAGCCUGGUUAAAAUCUUGUCUGUAGAUGAUCCGAUAGCCUUUGUCUGGUCAGUUAGAUUUUGUAUCGCAUCCUGCAAUGGUUGAAGAGCAGCUUUUAGGUCAUCCAGGUUAGAGCUUUCUGUUUUACCUUUAGAAAUAUUAGCAUUUUUAUUAGUAUCCCAGGUCUUCUGGAAUCUGGCUCUUUUAGAAGUGGAUGCAGAGUCUUUCUCUGGAGAGUUAAUAGCUGUAAAUUUAGUUUUUGUAACUUGGCUUUCCAUUUCCUCUGAUAAUAGUGGCAUUCUGAUUGUUGAUUGAUGAGAGAAGCAAGCAGAGAAUUAGCAGAACUCUUUUUGGAUUUGUUUUCAGGUUCUUUGGCCUAGCCUCACACUGCACCGGAAUCACAUGUGUUCACCAGAUACUCAGACAAUCAGCACAAAUCCAGCCCCAAUGAAUAUUAUGAAAUAAC